rnacentral:rRNA from 1 species
UAAUACAUGCAAGUCGAGCGAACCACUUCGGUGGUGAGCGGCGAACGGGUGAGUAACACGUAGGUGAUCUGCCCAUCAGACGGGGACAACGAUUGGAAACGAUCGCUAAUACCGGAUAGGACGAAAGUUUAAAGGUGCUUCUGGCACCGCUGAUGGAUGAGCCUGCGGCGCAUUAGCUAGUUGGUAGGGUAAAGGCCUACCAAGGCGACGAUGCGUAGCCGACCUGAGAGGGUGAACGGCCACACUGGGACUGAGACACGGCCCAGACUCC